rnacentral:lncRNA from 1 species
ACUCUGCUACAGAACAAGUGUCUUGGUUCACAGCAAAGAGGACAAAGAAAACAGCAAGUUUUAGGGGGUUGAAUCCUGGAUUCCCCUGGCAAACACCAUUCUACUUUCCGUCUCUAUGAAUUUGACUACUCGAAGUACCUCAUGUGAAAUGUUGGUGCCAAAUGAACUUUUCUGGUUCUUCUGAAUAUGCCACUGUUGCUGGAGAAAUGUCACUGCUAGAGAACAGAAGACUAUUAUUCCAAAGGGUAUUUGAGACUGACUGAAUCAGGUCUGGAACAUUAUUGAAAUGAGACCCACAAAAGAAGAGAUACUGAGGCUCAUAGAUGGAAGGGACUUGCCUUGUCGCUGAUGAGACUUUCGACUUGGACUUUUGAGUCAAUGCUGGAAUGAGUUAAGACUUUGGGGAACUGUUGGAAGGGUGUGAUUGUGUUUUGAAUUGUGAGGACAUGAGAUUUUGAAGAGGCUAAUGGCAGCGUCCCCACCUAAAUCUCUUCUUGAAUUGUAGUUCCCAUAAUCCCCACGUGUCGUGGGGUGGAGCCGGUGGAGAUAAUUGAAUCAUGGGAACACUUUCCCCCAUGCUGUUAUUGUGAUUGUGAAUUCUCACGAGAUCUGAUGGUUGUAUAAACGCCUUCCCUCUUCGCUGGGCACUCAUUUUUCUCCUUCCUGCCACCAUGUGAAGAAGGAUAUGCUUGCUUCUUGUGCCAUGAUUACAAGAACACACUCAGAAAUUUUCUCAACACAGUUUCUAUGCAGAGAAGAGAUGUGGGACAGAUUUGAACUGCUGUCAUAUUUGUAUGAACCCAAGACAUUUUCCAAGACCAAGAGGGAUAAAGACAGCAAUUUCUAUGACUGGCAUUUUACGUGCAUGCACUGUUUCCAAGUGUUCUUGUGUUCUGUGCCUUAAACAUUCUGUGUUGCAACUUUAUGAAUUGAAUUAAAGAUAAUCCCAAGCCCCCAA